UGGGGAAUAUUGGACAAUGGGCGAAAGCCUGAUCCAGCCAUGCCGCGUGUGUGAAGAAGGUCUUCGGAUUGUAAAGCACUUUAAGUUGGGAGGAAGGGCAGUAAGCGAAUACCUUGCUGUUUUGACGUUACCGACAGAAUAAGCACCGGCUAACUCUGUGCCAGCAGCCGCGGUAAUACAGAGGGUGCAAGCGUUAAUCGGAAUUACUGGGGGUAAAGCGCGCGUAGGUGGUUCGUUAAGUUGAAGGUGAAAGCCCCGGGCUCAACCUGGGAACUGUAUCCCAAACUGGCGGGCUAGAGUAGGGCAGAGGGUGGUGGAAUUUCCUGUGUAGCGGUGAAAUGCGUAGAUAUAGGAAGGAACACCAAUGGCGAAGGCGGCCACCUGGGCUCAUACUGACACUGAGGUGCGAAAGCGUGGGGAGCAAACAGG
rnacentral:rRNA from 1 species